GGAUAGGUGGCUCAGUGGGUAAGAGCACUGACUGUUCUUCCAGAGGUCCUGAGUUCAAAUCCCAGCAACCA
rnacentral:tRNA from 2 species